rnacentral:rRNA from 1 species
GACGGAGGGCGCAAGCGUUGUUCGGAAUUACUGGGCGUAAAGCGCGGGCAGGCGGUUUGCUAAGUCUUUUGUGAAAAUCCGGAGCUCAACUUCGGAAAUGCAGAAGAUACUGACAGACUGGAGACCGGUAGAGGCUAGCGGAAUUCCUGGUGUAGCGGUGGAAUGCGUAGAUAUCAGGAAGAACACCUGUGGCGAAGGCGGCUAGCUGGGCCGGAUCUGACGCUCAUCCGCGAAAGCGUGGGGAGCAAACAGG